GCCUAUGGCCGUGCCACCCUGAAUAUGCCCAGUCUCAUCUGAUCUUGGAAGCUAAACAGGGUCAGGUCUGGUUAGUAUCUGGAUGGGAGAAUGUCUUUGAGGCUCAGGGGGAAAUAGUGU
rnacentral:rRNA from 1 species